rnacentral:rRNA from 1 species
UGGGGAAUUUUGGACAAUGGGCGAAAGCCUGAUCCAGCAAUGCCGCGUGUGUGAAGAAGGCCUUCGGGUUGUAAAGCACUUUUGUCCGGAAAGAAAUCCUUGGCUCUAAUACAGUCGGGGGAUGACGGUACCGGAAGAAUAAGCACCGGCUAACUACGUGCCAGCAGCCGCGGUAAUACGUAGGGUGCAAGCGUUAAUCGGAAUUACUGGGCGUAAAGCGUGCGCAGGCGGUUUGCUAAGACCGAUGUGAAAUCCCCGGGCUCAACCUGGGAACUGCAUUGGUGACUGGCAGGCUAGAGUAUGGCAGAGGGGGGUAGAAUUCCACGUGUAGCAGUGAAAUGCGUAGAGAUGUGGAGGAAUACCGAUGGCGAAGGCAGCCCCCUGGGCCAAUACUGACGCUCAUGCACGAAAGCGUGGGGAGCAAACAGGAUUAGAUACCCUGGUAGUCCACGCCCUAAACGAUGUCAACUAGUUGUUGGGGAUUCAUUUCCUUAGUAACGUAGCUAACGCGUGAAGUUGACCGCCUGGGGAGUACGGUCGCAAGAUUAAAACUUC